GAUGAAGAACGCAGCGAAAUGCGAUAAGUAAUGGGAAUUGCAGAAUUCAGUGAAUCAUCGAAUCUUUGAACGCACAUUGCGCCCGCCAGUAUUCUGGCGGGCAUGCCUGUUCGAGCGUCAUUACAACCCUCAGGCCCCCGGGCCUGGCGUUGGGGAUCGGCGGAGCCCCCCGUGGGCACACGCCGUCCCCCAAAUACAGUGGCGGUCCCGCCGCAGCUUCCAUCGCGUAGUAGCUAACACCUCGCGACUGGAGAGCGGCGCGGCCACGCCGUAAAACACCCAACUCUUCUGAAGUUGACCUCGAAUCAGGUAGGAAUACCCGCUGAACUUAAGCAUAUCAAUAAGCGGAGGA
rnacentral:misc_RNA from 1 species